UUGCGCCCACUACUUUCCUUAGAAUGUCGCCUUAAAGAAAUCCCACGUUAACUGGUUAGCCUGAGUACCCUCUCUCACGGUAAGCCAUCACUGAUAAGCUUCAUCUCGCACUAAAGACACUGUACCUUUUAGUUUUUGCUCAGAGGUGCAGUCUAGAAAUACCCCUGAAGAUUUCUACUCCAUUCGACCGGAGUCGUUCUAAAAUUAACCC
rnacentral:lncRNA from 1 species